UUCAUCCGAAACUAAAUCACUAGUAUCAACAUCCGGUGUAAUUUUUGCUUGUAUUUUGGAGAAACUCGAUUGAUUUCUAGCAAACUUGGUUUACCACUACAUCGUCGCUUAUUAUUAUUUGUUGCUGCUUGGGACAAUUAAGUUAAGUCAGCAACCGUCUACCAGACUGCAAGAUUCAUCUCUUCCAAAGGAUGUCGUACCUUUCCAGAUACUGCCGAUGGUGAAGCUUGGGUGCACUGGGCCGGUUAUCCAGCCGUGUGGAAUCAACAUCUCCAGCUGAACUGGGGCCGGGAAUUAUAUAAGAAUCCUUAGCAGCAUGAGUGCCAGCCAGUCAUUGCUGUUCUUUGCAGUGCUGAGGAGGACAGUCCUGCCAACAUAACAGUUUGUUCAAUAACAGGAGACAAACAGAAACACAGAGGUGCUAUACAUUCCGAUGGAAAAGACAACAAAAGCAUCUCCCAUCAUUUUGGCGUGGCUCAGAUCAAGAGGAGAAUUUUAAGAAAGGUGAUGGUUGGGCACACACAAGAAGACAUAGAUCACAGGUGUCCAGGCAUAUGAGUAGACUGGAGUUUCACACUCUGCCAAACUUACUUCAUCAGAG